GAUGAACGCUGGCGGCGUGCCUAAUACAUGCAAGUCGAGCGAACAGAUAAGGAGCUUGCUCCUUUGACGUUAGCGGCGGACGGGUGAGUAACACGUGGGUAACCUACCUAUAAGACUGGAAUAACUCCGGGAAACCGGGGCUAAUGCCGGAUAAUAUUUAGAACCGCAUGGUUCUAAAGUGAAAGAUGGUUUUACUAUCACUUAUAGAUGGACCCGCGCCGUAUUAGCUAGUUGGUGGGGUAAUGGCUUACUAAGGCAACGAUACGUAGCCGACCUGAGAGGGUGAUCGGCCACACUGGAACUGAGACACGGUCCAGACUCCUACGGGAGGCAGCAGUAGGGAAUCUUCCGCAAUGGGCGAAAGCCUGACGGAGCAACGCCGCGUGAGUGAUGAAGGUCUUCGGAUCGUAAAACUCUGUUAUUAGGGAAGAACAAAUGUGUAAGUAACUGUGCGCGUCUUGACGGUACCUAAUCAGAAAGCCACGGCUAACUACGUGCCAGCCGCCGCGGUAA
rnacentral:rRNA from 1 species